CCUACGGGUGGCAGCAGUGAGGAAUAUUGGUCAAUGGACGAGAGUCUGAACCAGCCAAGUCGCGUGAGGGAUGACGGCCCUAUGGGUUGUAAACCUCUUUUAUAUGGGAACAAAACAGGGUACGCAUACCCUCUUGUAUGUACCAGAAGAAAAAGCAUCGGCUAACUCCGUGCCAGCAGCCGCGGUAAUACGGAGGAUGCGAGCGUUAUCCGGAUUUAUUGGGUUUAAAGGGAGCGCAGGGGGAAGAUAAAGUCAGCGGUAAAAUUGGGGGGCUCAACCUCAUAAAGCCGUUGAAACUGGCAGUCUUGAGUGGGGGAGAGGUAUGCGGAAUGCGUGGUGUAGCGGUGAAAUGCAUAGAUAUCACGAAGAACUCCGAUUGCGAAGGCAGCACACCGG
rnacentral:rRNA from 1 species